UACGAAGGGCGUAGCGUUGUUCGGAAUUACUGGGCGUAAAGCGCACGUAGGCGGACUUUAAGUCAGAUGUGAAAUCCCGGGGCGUCAACCUCGGAACUGCAUUUGAAACUGGAAGUCUGGAGUUCAGGAGAGGUUAGCGGAAUACCGAGUGUAGAGGUGAAAUUCGUAGAUAUUCGGUGGAACACCAGUGGCGAAGGCGGCUAACUGGACUGAUACUGACGCUGAGGUGCGAAAGUGUGGGGAGCAAACAGG
rnacentral:rRNA from 1 species